GCAGUCCUUUCUCUUUUAUCUCUGCUUUUUCUCUAUCAUUCUGGCGUCCACUUUAUCUUUUUGUAAAAUAACACUUCUUGCAGUGCUAUUCUCUUUAUCUCUGCUUUUUCUCUAGGAUCUGCUUGUCCUGGUUUGUUUUUCUCUAUAGAUUUUGUACUAGACAGACAUGGCAUCUAGGCCUAGCGCAGUGACUAAUGAAAGUUUUCGAUCCCAACCAUCGAUUGAAGAGAGAAUGGCCGUUCUUGUUAAGCGAGUAGGGGAGGUUAAUGGGUUGGUUCAUAAGAGCCCCCUUUACUGGGAGUCUAUAGAAUUCUUUGCAAAAGAGGAGGUUUUACGCGGCAUAUUCUAUGCACUUCCAGAUCAUUGUAAGCUGCAUUAUCUAAAACGAAAGAUAAAAGCCUCCAACAUGGAAGAGAGUGAACCUUCUUAUCUACCCAUGGGCUAUGAUUACUGAUGGAAAUAUGUUUUUUUUUAUGGAAAUAUGUUUGUAUUGUAUGUGUUAGUGUUUCAUGCUGUUGUGCUUGCGUUUCAUGUUCAAUGUUUAUUUUUUGUGUGUUUGAAUUUGAUGAUGACGGAUCCUGAACCUGGCUUUGGUUUGAUGUAAUAUGAAAUGUUAUUGUUAUUUUA